AAUAAGCUAUUUAAGAGCGUAAGGUGGAUGCCUUGGCUCUCAGAGGCGAUGAAGGACGUGAUAAGCUGCGAUAAGCUACGGGGAUUGGCACACACAAUUUGAUCCGUAGAUUUCCGAAUGGGGCAACCCACUAUAUUGAAGAUAUAGUAUCCGUUAAGGAAGCAAACCCAGGGAACUGAAACAUCUAAGUACCUGGAGGAAUAGAAAACAAAAGUGAUUCCGCUAGUAGUGGCGAGCGAACGCGGAACAGCCCAAACCAAAAUUGUUUCGGCAAUUUUGGGGUUGUAGGACCACGACAUUGAAUGUUUAAUGAAUUAGAAUUCUUUGGAAAAAGAAACCAUAGAGGGUGAUAGUCC
rnacentral:rRNA from 1 species